GACGAACGCUGGCGGCGUGCCUAAUACAUGCAAGUCGAGCGGAUAGAAGGGAGCUUGCUCCCGGAAGUUAGCGGCGGACGGGUGAGUAACACGUGGGCAACCUACCCUGUAGAUCGGGAUAACAUCGAGAAAUCGGUGCUAAUACCGGAAAAUCAUUUGAAGUGCAUGCUUCGACUGUAAAAGAUGGCUCCGGCUAUCACUACGGGAUGGGCCCGCGGCGCAUUAGCUGGGUGGUAAGGUAAUGGCUUACCAAGGCAACGAAGCGUAGCAGACCUGAGAGGGUGAUCGGCCACACUGGGACUGAGACACGGCCCAGACUCCUACGGGAGGCAGCAGUAGGGAAUCUUCCGCAAUGGACGAAAGUCUGACGGAGCAACGCCGCGUGAGUGAUGAAGGUUUUCGGAUCGUAAAGCUCAGUUGUUAGGGAAGAACAAGUGCCGUUUGAAUAAGGCGGCACCUUGACGGUACCUAACCAGAAAGCCACGGCUAACUACGUGCCAGCCGCCGCGGUAACAC
rnacentral:rRNA from 1 species